rnacentral:lncRNA from 1 species
GGAAGAAUAUCCGUCAUCGGUUAGGAUGAACAUAUCAAGGAUAGACUUCCGGGGAGAAAAUAGGAAUUAUAUCUAUCAAUUACUAGAUAGAAUAACAAAGUGAGAAUACCCGUCAUCGGUCAAAGUGAACAUAUCAAGGAUAGAUUAUGCAGGGGAAAGCAGGAUUUACGACUACCGGUUACUGGGCAGAAGACCGCAAAGAGGAGAAAAUUUG